UAAAACUUUCAACAACGGAUCUCUUGGUUCUGGCAUCGAUGAAGAACGCAGCGAAAUGCGAUAAGUAAUGUGAAUUGCAGAAUUCAGUGAAUCAUCGAAUCUUUGAACGCACAUUGCGCCCUCUGGUAUUCCGGGGGGCAUGCCUGUUCGAGCGUCAUU
rnacentral:rRNA from 2 species